GUGCACGAUGCGUAGGGGUUCUGAGAGGAAGGUCCCCCACACUGGUACUGAGACACGGACCAGACUCCUACGGGAGGCAGCAGUGAGGAAUAUUGGUCAAUGGGAGAGAUCCUGAACCAGCCAAGCCGCGUGAGGGAAGACGGCCCUAUGGGUUGUAAACCUCUUUUGUCGGAGAACAAAACCCGGGACGUGUCCCGGACUGCGUGUAUCCGAAGAAAAAGCAUCGGCUAACUCCGUGCCAGCAGCCGCGGUAAUACGGAGGAUGCGAGCGUUAUCCGGAUUUAUUGGGUUUAAAGGGUGCGUAGGCGGUCCGUUAAGUCAGCGGUAAAAUUGCGGGGCUCAACCCCGUCGAGCCGUUGAAACUGGCAGACUUGAGUUGGCGAGAAGUACGCGGAAUGCGCGGUGUAGCGGUGAAAUGCAUAGAUAUCGCGCAGAACUCCGAUUGCGAAGGCAGCGUACCGGCGCCAGACUGACGCUGAGGCACGAAAGCGUGGGGAUCGAACAGGAUUAGAUACCCUGGUAGUCCACGCAGU
rnacentral:rRNA from 1 species